CGGUGCCCCUAAAGCGAGGACCUGGUGAGAUUGUCACCCUGACUUUCAGGUACCCAGGAGGACCAUGGAGGUGCCUGGGAGUGCUCAGCGCCUGCGGCGUGCCCUCGGAGGCGGCGGUUGGCACGGAGGCCGGGCUACAUGAGAAACACACCUGGGCCUGGGAUCGGGUUCCUCCCUGCAGUGGCCAACACACCAUUCUGUGUCCCGGGAGGGGUGAGUGGUGAGGCGUUCCAUCACUCUGCAUCCGGGGCUGGGCACAGUGCCCGUGACCUGAGUGGCCAAUGUCGAGGCCCCUCUUUGGGGAGUCCCGUUUCCAAGAGCUCACCAGCCGCUGCUGUGGUCUCUGUGGGCCACCUAAGUCAAGUGAGCAGAGCAGCUGAGAUCCCAGUGCACCUUGGGGUUCAGCUCAAAGCAGGCACCAGGCUUACGGACAGGCUGUACAGCUCUGGGGACACUGGGCUUCCACGAGAGUGUCUGUCUAUGGACAGUGGCGAGGCCCCAGUCCCUAGCCAGGAUGCAGCUUGCAAUGAAGGAGCAAGAGGCGCCCAGGCCACAAACUCUCCGGCACCAGCAGAAGCGAGUGGCAGUAGCUGCAGGCUCCAGAGCAGCCCCUUCACACCGCCAGCCUCUUCCGGUCUCCAUGAAGCCUUUGCCUCCAGCUUCAGCUUCAUUCAGCUCUCUCUCAGCUCUGUGGGGGAACGUGGAGAGGCGGAAGGCUGCCCGCCAUCCAGAGAGGAUGAGUCCUCUCAUCGAAGCUGUCCAGACAUGGGAGCUGUGGCUGCCAGCUCAGACAGGCCCCGGGAAGACCCUGGAUGUCUCUCAGGGUCCUUCAGUCGCACAGCUACCCAGGGCUCUGCAGACUUGGCCCAGGAGACAAGGAGCAGCUUCUGGCCAGAGUGGGACCUGCUUUCUUCCCUGGACCUUGACAUUGGCUCUUCCCAGGGGCCCGUGCUGCCUGGCCGUUGUGGUGACAAGGGCCGUGGCUCAGCAUAUGCUCAUGGUUGGGAUGCCCUGCUCAGGAGAUGGGAACCUGUGUUGCAUGACUGUCUGCAGAGCAGCUUGAGGCAGCUAGAGGCAACAUCCUUAAAAUUAAAGCUUCAGAAACUUCAGGAGAAAGCAAUUGAAGAUGAUGAUUAUGAUAAAGCUGAGAUGCUGAGACAGAGAUUGGAAGACCUGGAACAGGAGCAAGGCCACCUGUCUGUGGUGCUCCCAUCCCUGCAGCCGGCCCUCAGCAGCUUCCUGGGCCACCUGAUGUCACAGGCCCAGGCCACCCUGCACCGAGCUACUCAGCCGGCUGGCAGUGACUGUGCCCUAGCCCCACUUGGAAGCGAGUCACAGACCCUGGAACUCACAGCCCAGGACAGCCUGCGUGAGGCCCUUGCAAGGCGAGACUGGCUUCUCCAGGAGAAGCGGCAGCUGCAGGAAGAAGUGGAAGCUCUCCAGAAAAGGAUGUCUGCGCUGGAGGCCAAAGAUCAACAGCUGAGAAGGGAGAUAGAGGAGCAGGAGAGAGAACUCCAGUGGCAGCGCUGUGGCCUGGGGUCACUGGUGGUCCAGCUACCCCUGGACCAGCUGAAGGAAGUCAGUGAGACCCUGAGGGACACGCUGGCCUCUGCCAGCCAGAUUCUCCCCCACAUGGAGCCGCCUGAAGCCGUCAGGAGCCUCCGGGAAAGAAUAAAAGCUCUGAACUUGUCACUUAAAGAAGUCACCACCAAAGUGUGCAUGGGCGAGAGACUCUGCAGCACCCUGAGGAAGAGACUCAGUGACCUUGAGACCCAACUACUGGCAUUGCUUGAAGCCAAAAUGCUUGCCAUAUCAGGAAGCCAUUUCGGCACAGCCAAGGACCUCACAGAAGAGAUUCGCACCUUGACCUCAGAGCGAGAAGGGCUGGAGCCCAUUCUGGAAAGGCUGUGGGCACUCAGGUCUUCGACUGCAGGAGAGCUGGCCAGCAUGGUGGAAGACCACAGCCGGCUGACACAGGAACUGCAGCGCCAGGAGGCUGAGCACAAAGCAAAUGUGAAGGGAAAUACUGUGAAGUACAUGGAAAUGCUUGAGGACAAACUGCUCAGCUGCAAGUGUCCGCUGCUUGGAAGAGUGUGGGAAGCUGACUUGGAGGCCUGUCAGCUACUGAUCCAGAGCCUGACUGUUGAAGAUGAGCAGCCAGUGGAUGACACAGGGGCAGCUGCCUGGAAAGCCACCCUUGCUGGCCCUCCCAGACUCUCCUCUGAAGACGGAAGGAAGAGCCCUCUGCAGGCAUUCCACGGGUGGAGGGCUCCCCUGACCUCCUGUGCACCCUGCACUGGAGGUGAAUGGAAGCAGGAAUCUUACAUCCUUUCUACAGAACUUGGAGAAAAAUGUGAAGGCAUAGACAAGAUGUUAUUGCGUUUAGAAGAUCAGCUUCAUACAGCGAUCCAUAGUCAAGAUGAAGACCUCAUUCAUAUCCUUUUCAUCGUGCAGAUGAGGCACCUGCAAGGUUAUUUUGUAAAAGAAAAUCUUAAAAAAUUGCACCAUUUCCAUAUGCCUCAGUGAAUGGAAACAAAUUAUGGCAUGAGAUUAUCCAGUAUGCAAUAUUUUCUCUUUGUUUCUCAUUAAGCAAUUCAAUAUUUUUGAUUAUUAAGCUUGACCGCUAAAAGGUAACCACAAAGUUCAGACACACACACAAUGAAGUCAGAGCAAAAUGGAGUUUCAGUGGGUAUGAAGUCGGGUCCAUAUGGCCUUUGGGAAAUCAUCGGAACAAAGCAUUUGACUAGCUCACUUUCUUAAAGGCUUUAAAAAUACCAAGUAACCCAAAUCCGUCCUUAAAUUUCUUCAUCAUACAGUUCUUCCACAUAACGGGCAGUACAGUAUCAAAGCUAAUGACUCUUUGGAUCAUUCCUCUUCAGUGUCUAACCACAUACACACAGUUAAGCUUAACUCUGUCCUUUUUUAUUCUGAAUCAUAGGAUUCUCUUGCAUCAGACUCAGGGUUCAGGCUCCACAAACAUCUGUGUCAAAACAAGCUGCAGUAAGCAAGGUGAUAGGAGGGUAUGUUAGUCAGGUAUAUCCAUGUGAGGCUCUGCACACCAGGGGACCUGGUGUAUCACUGGCGAGUUUCUCUAAGGAUAGAUGAAAGGGUACAUAGCUGGAUAAAGGGGUAAGUACACCCAUCCUGUAUCUUUCUGGUUAUUAAAUGACAAUUUGUUGUUUUCUAGCUAAAACCACUUCCCUGUUCAUUCAUUCAUUCUAUUCACUGGCAUGACUUCUUUUAGAUGUGUUUGUAGGAGACUUAUUUUGACCUUUGCUUCCCGUUGCAACCUUACUAGAGUUCCGGUGAUUAUUAUACUUUAUCUGUGUGUAAGUAGUUUUGAAUAGUUAAGGAUUAAUCUUAAUCAAAAGUAUUCAGAUAAAUGAUUUAAUGAUGAAUUCAACAUUCUUUCCUUUCUUGUUAUAACUUUACAUUUUUGACCUUGCUUAUUAAACUUAGCAAGAUAUUUCUUCAAUUUAAUCAGCAAUCAUUUUCACAUUGUUCAAGGUACAUGUUUAAGAAUUUCUCUGUUUUCUAAUUUCUGCCUCUUACAAAACCAGUGUUUAAGCUGUUGGUGGAAAGUUGCCUCAGAGCAGCAGAAAGAACAAUGACAUCUUUUGCUGUUCACAUGCUCAGGGGGCCAUAGGUUUAAGCUCUCCUACGGGGCCAUGAUGUCCAUUAACAGCCAGCAGCUACUUCUGGGCACAUGAAAGCCACGCGCUUCAGGAAGCCAAGGCCUGCAGAGGGUCCAGACCCUGCCAGGCAUGUGAGGGUCCUGAGCAGGAGGCACCUUGACCUAGGAGGGCCCAGGAGCUGUUCUGAACACUGCAGUCAGAGUCUGUACUGGUCUAUUGUUUUGAAACUUUCUAGAAGAUUAGUUUGAUUCUAGGGAGUUGUCCUUACCAGGCCUGGGGACAGGAGAGGAGGCUGAGAAGGCGCUGAACAGCGUUUCAAGGAGACCCUGUGGCUUUUCUACAGCCAGUAUGAGCCAGGCUCAGUAGAAUGGAAUCAGGGACAAAUGAUGGAGCAUUGGCAACCUCAUUUGCAGCAUGGGGAUAGUUGCGAGCACUUCUAAGUUUUUACAGAGUGAAGAGAAGCUGUAUGCACAACCUGUGUUUAACAUAGUCCUCACCUGCAGCAAGCACUUGGCGUCCAAGGCCAUUCAUUGAUCUCACUGUUCUCAGCCUCUUUGUCCCAACGUCACCAGCACCCUGUUUGCACACAC
ensembl:lincRNA